rnacentral:rRNA from 1 species
CCUGCCCAUCAGAAGGGGAUAACACUUGGAAACAGGUGCUAAUACCGUAUAACAAUCGAAACCGCAUGUUUUGAUUUGAAAGGCGCUUUCGGGUGUCGCUGAUGGAUGGACCCGCGGUGCAUUAGCUAGUUGGUGAGGUAACGGCUCACCAAGGCCACGAUGCAUAGCCGACCUGAGAGGGUGAUCGGCCACAUUGGGACUGAGACACGGCCCAAACUCCUACGGGGAGGCAGCAGUAGGGAAUCUUCGGCAAUGGACGAAAGUCUGACCGAGCAACGCCGCGUGAGUGAAGAAGGUUUUCGGAUCGUAAAACUCUGUUGUUAGAGAAGAACAAGGAUGAGAGUAACUGUUCAUCCCUUGACGGUAUCUAACCAGAAAGCCACGGCUAACUACGUGCCAGCAGCCGCGGGUAAUACGUAGGUGGCAAGCGUUGUCCGGAUUUAUUGGGGCGUAAAGCGAGCGCAGGCGGUUUCUUAAGUCUGAUGUGAAAGCCCCCGGGCUCAACCGGGGAGGGUCAUUGGAAACUGGGAGACUUGAGUGCAGAAGAGGAGAGUGGAAUUCCAUGUGUAGCGGUGAAAUGCGUAGAUAUAUGGAGGGAACACCAGUGGCGAAGGCGGCUCUCUGGUCUGUAACUGACGCUGAGGCUCGAAAGCGUGGGGAGCAAACAGGAAUUAGAUACCCUGGUAGUCCACGCCGUAAACGAUGAGUGCUAAGUGUUGGAAGGGUUUCCGCCCUUCAGUGCUGC